UAGGGAAUCUUCCACAAUGGGCGAAAGCCUGAUGGAGCAACGCCGCGUGUGUGAUGAAGGGUUUCGGCUCGUAAAACACUGUUGUAAGAGAAGAAUGACAUUGAGAGUAACUGUUCAAUGUGUGACGGUAUCUUACCAGAGAGGAACGGCUAAAUACGCGCCAG
rnacentral:rRNA from 1 species